UGUGAAAUUAAAAAUUUUGGCGGGUUUAAAGAAAAAAUGUAUUUUUUAGAAAGAAAAAAUAAACUUCAAAUCGUGAAUUACGAGGUGGAUCUUUCACACCGAUUGACAACCGCAGCCCAUGAAAUAGGCUUAGAAAUCUGUUAUAAUUUUCUUUUUUUACUUUAAAAAAAAUUUGUUUGUAUUCGUUAAAUAUAUAUAAAAUCAUACCUCAGAAUUCAAUAACUUCAUUUCUUUUUUCCCUUUAAAAAAAAAACCACAAAAAGACACUGUUUCAGAACAUUCUAAUUUAGGACACCCCCUUAACCUCGAUCGAACAUCGAACAUAACUC
rnacentral:misc_RNA from 1 species